rnacentral:lncRNA from 13 species
CUGGAAACAGGCCUGCCAAACAACAAUUCCCUAGUUACAAUUACACUGGAGCUCUGUGUUUCAAGAGACUCCUAGGUGCCAUCCAUGCAUUGGUCUCUUUCCCAAGCAGUGUCCAUCCAGCACUUCAGAGAUCAACAGGCAAGGGAAAUGUCUGCACUGGGAUCUUGCCAGGAAAUGGAAAUGCCCAGGGGCAAGUAGCAAGAGAAGGAAGACAGCCACUAGCAGAGGUGUCUACAAGCCGACUGCAGAAGUCAGUAAUGCCAGAAGACUGAAGAGUGGCUAAUGAAGCAUCUCAUUUCAGAAACGACAAGGGGAGACUUCAGGGAAGUGCAGUAGUGACCUACAUAGAGCAGAAGGAUACAACAGAAAGGCCUGGAAAAGUGAGGACAGCCAGGAGGAGGCAGAGGAAUUGUCAGGGCAAUGCAGGAAGACUGUAUGAAAUAGGAUGUAAUGAAGCAAAGGCAAGUAUCUUCUCUACUGUGAAAUAAACAGGCAAGAUGCACUGUGGGAUGUGCUAAUAACUGAUAUUUUGAUUCUUCCAUGUAAAAAAAAAAAAUUAAUAAAAUUGAAUCUAUGUUGGGAAUUCAGGUCACCCACAAUCAAAUAACACAGACAUUUUGUGCAACCCAAAAUGU